rnacentral:rRNA from 1 species
UACGUAGGGUGCGAGCGUUGUCCGGAAUUAUUGGGCGUAAAGAGCUUGUAGGUGGUUUGUCGCGUCUGCUGUGAAAAUCCGGGGCUCAACCCCGGACUUGCAGUGGGUACGGGCAGACUAGAGUGUGGUAGGGGAGACUGGAAUUCCUGGUGUAGCGGUGAAAUGCGCAGAUAUCAGGAGGAACACCGAUGGCGAAGGCAGGUCUCUGGGCAUUAACUGACGCUGAGGAGCGAAAGCAUGGGGAGCGAACAGG